rnacentral:rRNA from 1 species
UACGGAGGGUGCAAGCGUUAUCCGGAUUCACUGGGUUUAAAGGGUGCGUAGGCGGACAGGUAAGUCAGUGGUGAAAUCUCCGAGCUUAACUCGGAAACUGCCGUUGAUACUAUUUGUCUUGAAUAUUGUGGAGGUAAGCGGAACAUGUCAUGUAGCGGUGAAAUGCUUAGAUAUGACAUAGAACACCAAUUGCGAAGGCAGCUUACUACACAAUUAUUGACGCUGAGGCACGAAAGCGUGGGGAUCGAACAGG